GUUCACUGCAGCAGCACAUAUACUAAAUCUGGAAAAACACAGAGCAGAUUAGCAUGACCACUGCACAAGGAUGACAUGCAAAUUCGUGAAGUAUCCAUAUUUUU
ensembl:snRNA U6 U6 spliceosomal RNA